UGGCGACCGGCGCACGGGUGAGUAACGCGUAUGCAACCUGCUCGAUACCGGGGUAUAGCCCAUGGAAACGUGGAUUAACACCCCAUAGUACUUUUAUCCUGCCUGGGAUGGGAGUUAAAUGUUCAAGGUAUCGGAUGGGCAUGCGUCCUAUUAGUUAGUUGGCGGGGUAACAGCCCACCAAGACGAUGAUAGGUAGGGGUUCUGAGAGGAAGGUCCCCCACAUUGGAACUGAGACACGGUCCAA
rnacentral:rRNA from 1 species